GACGAACGCUGGCGGCGUGCUUAACACAUGCAAGUCGAACGGAAAGGCCCUGCUUUUGUGGGGUGCUCGAGUGGCGAACGGGUGAGUAACACGUGAGUAACCUGCCCUUGACUUUGGGAUAACUUCAGGAAACUGGGGCUAAUACCGGAUAGGAGCUCCUGCUGCAUGGUGGGGGUUGGAAAGUUUCGGCGGUUGGGGAUGGACUCGCGUCUUAUCAGCUUGUUGGUGGGGUAGUGGCUUACCAAGGCUUUGACGGGUAGCCGGCCUGAGAGGGUGACCGGCCACAUUAGGACUGAGAUACGGCACAGACUCCUACGGGAGGCAGCAGUGGGGAAUAUUGCACAAUGGGCGGAAGGCUGAUGCAGCCAAGCCGCGUGCGGGAUGACGGCCUUCGGGUUGUAAACCGCUUUCGCCUGUGACGAAGCGUGAGUGACGGUAAUGGGUAAAGAAGCACCGGCUAACUACGUG
rnacentral:rRNA from 1 species